rnacentral:rRNA from 1 species
UGCGUAGGCGGAAUAAUAAGUCGGUGGUGAAAUCCUGUGGCUCAACCACAGAACUGCCAUUGAUACUGUUAUUCUUGAAUAUAGUUGAGGUAGGCGGAAUGUGUAAUGUAGCGGUGAAAUGCUUAGAUAUUACACAGAACACCGAUUGCGAAGGCAGCUUGCUAAACUAUUAUUGACGCUGAGGCACGAAAGCGUGGGGAGCGAACAGGAUUAGAUACCCUGGUAGUCC